rnacentral:rRNA from 1 species
UUGACGCUGGCGGCAUGCUUACACAUGCAAGUCGACGGCAGCACAGAGAAGCUUGCUUCUUGGGUGGCGAGUGGCGAACGGGUGAGUUAUAUAUCGGGACGUACCGAGUAAUGGGGGAUAACUAAUCGAAAGAUUAGCUAAUACCGCAUAUUCUCUGAGGAGGAAAGCAGGGGACCUUCGGGCCUUGCGUUAUUCGAGCGGCCGAUAUCUGAUUAGCUAGUUGGUGGGGUAAAGGCCUACCAAGGCGGCGAUCAGUAGCGGGUCUGAGAGGAUGAUCCGCCACACUGGGACUGAGACACGGCCCAGACUCCUACGGGAGGCAGCAGUGGGGAUAUUUUGGACAAUGGGCGCAAGCCUGAUCCAGCCAUGCCGCGUGUCUGAAGAAGGCCUUCGGGUUUGUAAAGGUACUUUUGUCAGGGAAGAAAAGGCUGUUGCUAAUAUCGACAGCUGAUGACGGUACCCUGA